CUUCCGAUCUGGAAGAAUCUGGAGACAGGUGCUGCAUGGCUGUCGUCAGCUCGUGUCGUGAGAUGUUGGGUUAAGUCCCGCAACGAGCGCAACCCUUGCCUUUAGUUGCCAGCAGUUCGGCUGGCACUCUGAAGGGACUGCCGGUGUUAAACCGGAGGAAGGUGGGGAUGACGUCAAGUCCUCAUGGCCUUUAUGACCAGGGCUACACGCGUACUACAAUGGCCGAUACAAAGGGCGGCGACACUGCGAGGUGAAGCCAAUCCCGUAAAAUCGGUCUCAGUCCGGAUUGGAGUCUGCAACUCGACUCCAUGAAGUUGGAAUCGCUAGUAAUCGUGGACCAGCAUGCCACGGUGAAUACGUUCCCGGGCCUU
rnacentral:rRNA from 1 species